rnacentral:tRNA from 1 species
CACCUUGACAUGGUGGGGGUCGUUGGUUCGAGUCCAAUCGCGCCUA